AACGCUCAGGUUGCCUAGUGGUUGGAGCGUCCGCCUCAGAUGCGGGAAAUCGUGGGUUCGAACCCUGGCUGUGUCA